UACGGAGGGUGCUAGCGUUGUUCGGAAUCACUGGGCGUAAAGGGCGUGUAGGCGGUCUGUUAAGUCUGAUGUGAAAUCCCCUCGCUCAACGAGGGAACUGCGUCGGAUACUGGCAGACUCGAGUACCGGAGAGGAAGGUGGAAUUCCCGGUGUAGCGGUGAAAUGCGUAGAUAUCAGGAGGAACACCGGUGGCGAAGGCGAUUCUCUGGGCCUUACCUGACGCUGAGGAGCGAAAGCGUGGGGAGCAAACAGG
rnacentral:rRNA from 1 species